rnacentral:rRNA from 1 species
GAUGAACGCUGGCGGCGUGCCUAACACAUGCAAGUCGAGCGAACGGACGAGAAUCUUGCUUUUCUGAUGUUAGCGGCGGACGGGUGAGUAACACGUGGAUAACUUACCUAUAAGACUGGGAUAACUUCGGGAAACCUGAGCUAAUACCGGAUAAUAUUUUGAACCUCAUGGUUCAAAAGUGAAAGACGGUCUUUCUGUCACUUAUUGAUGGAUCCGCGCUGCAUUAGCUAGUUGGUAAGGUAACGGCUUACCAAGGCAACGAUGCAUAGCCGACCUGAGAGGGUGAUCGGCCACACUGGAACUGAGACACAGUACAGACUCCUACGGGAGGCAGCAGUAGGGAAUCUUCCGCAAUGGGCGAAAGCCUGACGGAGCAACGCCGCGUGAGUGAUGAAGGUCUUCGGAUCGUAAAACUCUGUUAUUAGGGAGGAACAUAUGUGUAAGUAACUGUGCACAUAUUGACGGUACCUAAUCAAAAAGCCACGGCUAACUACGUG